rnacentral:lncRNA from 1 species
AUUAAGGUUUAGUAUUUAGAGUAAUAUGGUGAGUUUGAGGUCAAUAUUAGAUUUUGAGAUUUGGGUUUAGAGUUUUUGGUUUAUACUUGGGUUUAGGGUUUAGUGAUUAAGAUUUAGGGUUUAGUAUUUAGAAGCGCGGGGUUGGGAUUUGGUUUAGUGAACAUGUAUCGUUUCAUUUGACGAUUAAUAAAGAGUGUUCUAUUUUGUUCACCAAUAUGUACUAUACUAUUUAUUUCAUUUCAUUCUAUUUGGGUUUAGGGUCUAUACUUGGGUUUAGGAUUUUGUGAUUAGAGUUUAGAGUUUAGUAUUUGGAAUGUGUGGGAGUAAAUUUUGGGUUUAGUGAUAGCAGUUUAGGGUUUAAUAUUCAAAAUGUGCUUUCAAGUGUCCAAUAUUAGAAAAAAAAUUAUAUAUUGUAUUUGGGUUUAUAGGUUCAUGCCUAGGGUUUAGUUUUACUAAGUAGAGGUUUGGGUAUAGUAAACUAUAUUAUAUGUAUACUAAUUGAGUUUAGGCUUCCUUAAUUA